CUUCCACACUGGUACCAAUAGGAGCAGAAUUCAUUACCACUGACAAUUCCUAAAUAUUUAAAAAUACAUAAAUAAGUUUUUCUGCGUUUUAGACUUCCAACUGAGAUGAAUUUUAAGAAUAAGCCGCUACUCACAGCUAUAACCUUUCAUGGUUUGAAGAAGCCUCUCCGGUUACUUAAAGGAACACUAUAUGGUCAGGAACACAACCAUCUAUUCCUGGCUCUAUAGUGUUUCAUCCACCAUUUAGGUGGCUUUCCCCCUUAGAAAAGGUGAAAACCAAGCUUAUUUCCAG